AAACAUAUCACUGUAAAAAGAGUACUAAAGGAGCAUGUUUCCAACACACACAGUGCAUCCAAAAACAUCCUCAUCAAUGGAGUUUGGAUCAAGGGAGUCUACAGUAUGUGGACCCUUGGAAUAUUUCUUUAUUUGGAUUACCUUUGUACACAGUUUGGAUUAUAUAUCAGCCAGGACAUAAACAACGCUGCGGGGAUCAAUUCACUGCUUGUGCAACAGGAUGGUGACAGAGCAGAGAGCAAAGGAACAGCUGAAGAACAGACCCCCAGCAGCCUCUGCACUCCGGGCAGUACACAGGGGGAGCACAGCUAUUUCGAACAAGGAAUGAUGUUCAGUGAUCUUACAUAAACAUAUUGUUUGCAUCUUUAUCUCAAUCUUAAAUUAUUUUCUUUUUCUUAAUCACAAAAGGGAGACUUUGGUACUAAAUGCAUGCAUACUGAAAAUAUAUACUGCAAUAAUAGGCAGGGUCUAUGAAACACCAAAUUAUUUUCCCAUAUUCCAUUUUUUUCCAUUUAAAUUUUUAUGGAUUUCUUUCUUCUUUUUUUCUUCUUUUCUUUUCCCCAAAUCCAUUUUUAUAAUUAAGUUACAUUUAAGUAAUAAUAAAGCAUAUAUAAUUCAUUAAAAUCAUUUAAAAUAUUAUUUAACAACAUUAUCAACAUUUGAGUUUCUUUGUGUGUAUAUAAUAUAACAAUAGUUUUUCUCAAAUGGAAUGCCCAUGAAGUGAACUCUUAGAGCAGCUCUGGAGAUGGAGUUCAUGUGGAGUGUCUUCAUAGGCCAUGUUUACACAGCAGUAGAAAACAUUUGUCAGUUCUGGGUUUGAGUAAAUAAUAUAGUUGUGUCUUCACACACGUUUCAUUUAUUUAUGGGAGUGACAGCUGCAUUCUAUAACCAAACUCAUACCCAUAAAUUUUCAGGACUCACAACCAUUUUUUGGUGAAAUCCUUGUGAGAACAAAACAUACUGGACAAAGUUGUCUGUCAUGUUAUGCAGUGCAAGAGAGUCACCCUGCGUUGCAUAUAUAUGUCUAGCAUGUUGCAGGUUUUCAUGUGUGAAUGAAGCCAUAUAGUGAGAAAGCAGAUGCUGAAAACACCACGAGCAUCACACAUGUUUGAGUAUGUGUAGUAGACAAAACUGUGCCACUCACUUACACACACUCACUUAAAUAUUAGUCUUUUUGCUCUUUAAUAUUGACAGAUACUAGUCCAUAUCACAAUUUUGGAGAAGUGUACAGACUUAUAUUCUAUUUAUUCAUCCAAAAUUAGUUAAAUUCUGUGACAAUUCGAGUUGUACAGUAAAUUCCAUUUCUAUGAUUGGAUUCCAUGAUUUUUCUGCAUUACAGAAAUCAUAGGGCCACAAA
ensembl:lncRNA